rnacentral:lncRNA from 10 species
AAAUGGCUUGGAGCUCUGGCAUACUGAACCUUGUUGUUUGUGGUCAACAGCUCUAUGGUGAUGUGGGGUCUUACGAGGCUUCCUGACAGAUGAGAGGUAUCUCAAGGGACUCUACUUCAACAGGGAGCAACUGUGACCUCCAAGAAAACUCUUGCCCUGAGCUCCGAAAUCCUCCAGCAUGAAAAGGAGAAAAGAUAAACUGAGGCUGAACUCCAAGAGCUGAAGGAACUCUACUCUGGGCCUUCCAGUGAACAACAUAUUGGGGCCAGGAGUGGUGCCUCACGCCUGUAAUCCCAGCACUUUGGGAAGUGAGACGGUGUAUCACUUGAGCUCAGAUGAUCAAGACAAGCCUGGGUAACAUAGUGAGAGCCUGUCUCUAUUUUUUUUUAAAAAGUGAACAACAUAUUGUAAGUAGUUUUCUGAUUUAGAUUAUUGCUUCCAAUAGAUGUAUACUGUUCUAUAGUAUGGAAGCAAAUAUUUAUUUAACAAUUUUCCUCAUGUAAGGAUGAUGUAAUUAUGUUGUUUAAAAUAUUACAUUUAUCUUGUUUAUAAGGUUUUCUAUAUUUUGACAGUAAAUAUAUAUGUGUAUAUUUACAACAAUUUAUACACACACACAUAAUAAAUACACAUACAUUUUCUUUGCCCCUGAAAAGCAUUUACAUUGUGAUAGAGUCCUAGAAUUAAAAGUGUUAGAUCCAGGAGAAUACAACCUCCCACUAAAAAUCUUCUACUUCUUUGCAAACUAUCUAUAAAAUAGUGCUUCCCAAUAGAACUUUUUGUGAUGAUGAAAAGGUUAACAUAGCCCAAUACUGUAGCCACUAGCCACCUCUGGCUAUUGAGCACUUGAAAUGUGGCUAGUGUGACUGAGCAAUUGAACUUUAUACUUUAAAAUUUAUUUAAUUUAAAUUUAUUUCAUUUUUUAAUUAAUGUAUUUAUUUAUUGAGACAGAGACUCACUCUGUCGCCAGGCUGGAGUGCAGUGGCGUGAUCUCGGCUCACUGCAACCUCCACUUCCCAGGUUCAACGAUUCUCCUGCCUCAGCCUCCAGCCUCCUGAGUAGUUGGGAUUACAGGCACGCACCACCGUACCCAGCUAAUUUUUGUAUUUUUAGUAGAGACGGGAUUUCACCAUGUUGCCCAGGAUGGUCUUGAUCUCUUGACCUCAUGAUCCGCCCACCUCGGCCUCCCAAAGUGCUGGGAUUACUGGCGUGAGCCACCGCGCCUGGCCUAAUUUAAAUUUAAAUAGCCACUUGUGACCAGUAGCUGCCGUUGUUAUACGGUACAGGUAUAGUAGGCCCAUAUUCUUAAAACAUUUCCAGUAGUAUAUAAUAUCCAACUCUUUAACCUAUACCUGCAUUAUAAAAAGAAGGCAACUCAUUAUUUCAAUUUGCAUUCUCUGGUUAUUAGUGAAGUUGAGCAUAUUUAGUAGCUGAAAACCAGUCUACUUUUUUUAUUCUUAAAUUUGUCUGUUCGUUCUUAUAUUACAUGGUUUGUUCUGCUUUUAGUGAUUUGUUGGAGCUAUUUAUAUUUUGCAAAUCUCUUCUUCCAGUCAGUUAUUUGUCACUAACUUUUAUAAUGUUUUUCACCAUGCAGAACAUUUUAAACACUCCUGGUUGCUGAGUUUCAUGUCAUUCUUCUGUCUUUCUUCAUUCUAUGAUUGUAAAAAUGUCUUUCUAAUAUGUGCUUUAACAAAUUUAUUUUGGUAUGUCUCUGAUUUUUCUUUUAUAUGGAAUAUAAUUCUGUCUCCCAUCUAAG